GUCGAAGUAUUUUCCUGUUUUUGCAGUUGAUUCAAAGCAUUACAGGAGCUUGCCAGACAAGCGAACGACCGUAGAAAUACGUGCCGGUUCGAGUCCGGCCUUCGGCACCA
rnacentral:tRNA from 3 species